UACGUAGGGAGCAAGCGUUAUCCGGAUUUACUGGGUGUAAAGGGCGCGUAGGCGGGAUGGCAGGUCAGAUGUGAAAUCCAGGGGCUCAACCCCUGAACUGCAUUUGAAACUGUCGUCCUUGAGUACUGGAGAGGUUGACGGAAUUCCUAGUGUAGCGGUGAAAUGCGUAGAUAUUAGGAGGAACACCAGUGGCGAAGGCGGUCAACUGGACAGCAACUGGCGCUGAGGCGCGAAAGCGUGGGGAGCAAACAGG
rnacentral:rRNA from 1 species